GUGGGGAAUUUUGGACAAUGGGGGCAACCCUGAUCCAGCCAUGCCGCGUGCGGGAAGAAGGCCUUCGGGUUGUAAACCGCUUUUGUCAGGGAAGAAAUCCUUUGGGUUAAUACCUCGGAGGGAUGACGGUACCUGAAGAAUAAGCACCGGCUAACUACGUGCCAGCAGCCGCGGUAAUACGUAGGGUGCGAGCGUUAAUCGGAAUUACUGGGCGUAAAGCGUGCGCAGGCGGUUUUGUAAGAUCGAUGUGAAAUCCCCGGGCUCAACCUGGGAACUGCAUUGGUGACUGCAAGGCUGGAGUGCGGCAGAGGGGGAUGGAAUUCCGCGUGUAGCAGUGAAAUGCGUAGAUAUGCGGAGGAACACCGAUGGUGAAGGCAAUCCCCUGGGCCUGCACUGACGCUCAUGCACGAAAGCGUGGGGAGCAAACAGGAUUAGAUACCCUGGUAGUCC
rnacentral:rRNA from 1 species